CGAUGAAAUUGCCACAAAUCCAGCAUCGACCCAUCAACAACAGAAACCCGAAUUCCAGUAUUCGACAUCGAUCAAUCAAAAACAAAUCAACCCAAUUCAUGAAAUCACAAAACAUAAAUUAAUCAAAAACACAAACUUGAACAAAUUAUCGGAGAGGGGGAGGAAGAGAUGACAAUAGAAAUCGCAAUCCCGCCUAUUUUUUUCGCACCGAUUUUUAAAAAUCAGUACGCAUUGUGCGAUGCUCAUUUAACUUUUUCUACUAGUGUAAGAACCAUCCUCUGUAUAAAAAUCCGAUCUUAUAUAAGAACAAAUCUCAACGGUUGGAUUAAAUUGGGAUGAGCGGUCAGAUUAAAACAAAACAAAAACUAUCUUUCCUCAAGAAAAAAAAAAAAAAAAAAACGCAACUUUAACUUUCUCUCUCCACAAACUCCCAAAAAUCUCCAUAGAAGCUGCAAUUUGAAGGAUUUUUAACUUUUUUCCUUCAUUUUUUUGCAUAAAUUCAACAAGGAUCGUAAACAAGUCAAAUUUUUCAAGAAAAGUACAAAUUUUUGCAAUAAACCCUAGAUUUCGCAAUUUUCAAUUUCAGAUAGGAUUGAAGUGAUUCAAGUUGCAUUGGAAACUAUACUUAAGAGCUUUCUAACGGUAGGUCACACACCUAUAUACAACUUAUGAAUCAAAAGUUACAAGCCUGUGAAGUUGAUGCUAUGCCCAGUAGCGAGUGAGCGAGAACUCGCGAGCUAGCUCGCAUAUGCCGAAAGCAACAGAAGCCCGGAGCUCACUCGCCAGCGAGCUAUAGCUCGCCCCUGCACUCCUUCAAGCAAGCACCGAGCGAUAUCUCAUAUAUGCAGCGAUGCCUUAUUGAAGUCCAACGUGCCAACAUACAUGCACCAUCAUGGCUGCUUGUUAAGGCUUGGUUCUUGGGUCGGUUGGCCGUCUUCAUCGAGCAUCUUCGUGCCACAUCAUCUUCUAUUGUCCAAUGGUUUGACAACUUGUGUAAUUUGUAUUUUCUUAUUCCUUUUCUUUAUUUAUUUUUAGAUUAGAAUUUGAGGGAAUUAUAAAUACUCAAGGAGAUUUAUCAAUUUUGUCGGCCCUCGAUGCUUCUUGGUUACAGGAGCUAUAUACGACAAAGUAGUAAGUACUAGAGUUAAUGUACCUUAAUAGAUAUCAAUAACUUUGUGAAAAGAAAUAAAUUGAAUCAUACCUUCCUUUGGGCUUUCAAUCAUUGGUAUAGAAACA